UUAUCAUACAUAAUUGAAUACCUUUGUAAGGCAAAGUAUAUUUUCCUAAUCUGUCGUUUUGAUAUAAUGCCUCUUGCUAAUAAACGUAAGUGAUGCACGCUGCAGUUUCGUGGAUCUCGGUGGAAGUGACUUUUUGUCCCAGGACAAUAAAACCCUUCUUGUCAGGUUGGCUUUCUAAUAAGCCCAGUGUUUUUGUCACAUGGUUGGUCUUACUCUGAGGCGCUAUGGAGGAGAUCCAACCCACACAAGCCACUGAAAUCGGAUUGCUGGAAGGCGGAGAAAAAUGAUGUAAAAUCACCAGAGGCAACAUUCGAUCACAUCUUGAAGGAGUGAAAGGGGGGAGGGGGGAGAAGAAGAAUGAAGAAAAAAAGUUUCCCAUGAAUUGAAGUGUUCAGUGGUGGAAGGAUUGGGGGCAAGAGAACAAGAGUAAUAAUCCUGCAGUUCCUGUAGAGCUAAUUUACCCCACAUAGAAGAAAUAACACAAAAUCACUUUUAAGGGGUUUAACAUACUUAAACAUUGAAGAAAUAUAUAUAUAUAUAUUUUUUUUAGGAUUUCUAGAUUUUUUUUUUUUUAAUCGAGGUCAUCAAUUAACGACCUGUAUGUAAGGUAAGAUAAGGUAAAAACUCCAACCAGUCAAGUACCAGAGUCUCCAACCCACACGUAAAACACUAGUAACUUUGUGGAUGUAACAUGAUGUGCGAAAGACGAUGAGGUUUGAAUACUCCUUUUUUGUUUUGGAUGGAGUCAGCUGAAAGACAAAGUUGUUUUCACUUCUGAAUCUCUGGCCUGUCAGUGGGGUUUAAAGGUGAAGAAAUAGACUCCGACAUCCAAAAGAAUACAAAGCCAAGUUUAUUAGCAAGUCUCAUGAAAGUCCUGAAUGAAGUGAUUCUCCCAUGA